rnacentral:lncRNA from 1 species
UUUUUUUUUUUUUUUCAUUUUGAACAGUCUGUUCCUUUUAGUGCAAGCUGGCAGUGCUUUUACCAGGAAAAUUCUCUUAAAAUUUUUCUGGAUUUCUUGUGACUUUGCUACAGAUCUUCAUGUGGCAAAAGUCACAUUGGUAAUUUUUGUUUAGACUCUUCUUUUUCUACUUUGGGUCAUAAGUCAGGCUGAGUGCAACAAUGCUUCCCUGUCUACUGAGGGUGUUCAGGAGACGCUGCCUUGACUCUUUCGGCAACCUUAAAUAUGACGUCACAGCUGUACACUUAAUUUGGGACUUGGCCCCAGGUCUCAUUUCAUUUUGAGAAUCUUCUAUGAGCUGUGGAGACCAGGGAUGAUCAAACAGUUUUAUCUUCCAACCCACCAAAUCUUGGAUCCUUUUUUUUUAUUAAUAUGUCAUAGUUGUACACAUUGCGGGAGGGGGCGCAUGUGAUAUUUUGAUACAUGUAUACAAUGUGUAAUGAUUUGGAUCCUUUCUGUUUUCUCUGAAUUCUACUUGCAAAUGAAACAGCUACUUCUUGACUUCAUCUCUCUACCUUACCAUAUAUGUAUUUUAGACCAACAAACUGACACUUUCAACUUUCUGCCUGGGGACUUCCUUAAUGAAAUCCAAAAGUUUAUUAGUAGCAUUUGCUGUUUUCCAAGUUAUUGUAGAAAACAGUCUUGCAGAUUGCUCUGUCAUUUACCCCGAUUGCUGGAGCCGCCUCUUCAUUGCUUUUCCAAUCUCCGCUAAUGAUUGGUUUGCCACUUAUACAGCCUUGAUGAAAAGUUUUAUCAUUACUCUCUGUUCUUUUUCCCCAUGUCAUUUCUCAGGAUUGCUUAUUCAGUUAGUAACCUUGAGAGAUGAGAUGCUGUCUCCCCCAGGACAAACAGUAGACUGCCAACUGCUUGCUCUGAAAAUGGUGGAGUCCCAAAGCUCAGUGCUUCUUAGUGGCAUCUCAGACCCACAUGGGUGGCAUUCAUCUAGGUCACAUUGCAUCGUCCCCAGAGGACUCAGAGGCAGAGAAAACCAAAGCAAAUAUGCUGACGCCCAUGCUGCCUGCUCUGCCAUGAAUAAUAAAGGCUUUUAUCUCUGACACAGGAAUCUUUGUCUAGUGCCAGCAUCCGUGAAACAGGCACAGGCUCACUUAUCAGCUUGUAAGUAGGUAAAAAACAAAUCCCAGAUCCAACAGUCUCCAUCUCCAGAAGGUAUUCUCAGAUUAAUUUCCAACAGACCUCGAGUUAACACUACCAAAAUUUGGAUGUGACCUGAAAAAAACUCACUGCCCUGAGAUAGAAUUGGAGGAAAAAUUAUGUUCAUAGCAUUUUUAAAACUUCAGAACCGUGUCAGAAUUCAGAAAUGGAAGUAAAUCCUAUCAACACCUCUGUGCUCAUGUUUCUGUGUGACCUCAGAGCUAGCCUAGCCUAAGAUCCUAUGAAAUAUUAUAGCAUUGUCAAAAACCAUGUAUUCUCUUCAGGAAGUUUUAUCUUUGGGAUCACUUACCAAUAGCAAGAGAAAAAUUCCAAUAACUUGCCAACUGCAAUGCUUUAUGGAGUUUCUGAACAAACAUUGUAAUCUUUAUGACUCCCAAAUAAUGUCUGCAUUACAAAAUAACAAGUCAGAAAAAAAAAAAAAAAAGAUUAGACACAUAAGGAGGAAAAAAAGAGAAGCAGCAUUCAUAGCUCACCUACCACAUGCCAAGGAACUGUAGAAACUUUGUUGAUAUUUAUGUAAAACCCUAUGAUAAUUGCUACUGCAACUUAAAAUAAAAGUUACAUUAAAAAAAUAACAAUUACCUCAGGGAUCCGUGGCUCAGGCCUGUAAUCCCAGCAC